GCGGCCAUGGCGGAAUUGGUAGACGCGCAGGGUUGAGGUCUCUGUGGUAGCGAUAUCGUGGAAGUUCGAGUCUUCUUGGCCGCACCA
rnacentral:tRNA from 1 species